CCUACGGGGGGCAGCAGUGAGGAAUAUUGGUCAAUGGGCGCGAGCCUGAACCAGCCAAGUAGCGUGAAGGAUGACUGCCCUCCGGGUUGUAAACUUCUUUUGUAAAGGAAUAAAGUGCGGCACGUGUGCCUUUUUGUAUGUCCUUUAUCAAUAAGGAUCGGCUAACUCCGUGCCAGCAGCCGCGGUAAUACGGAGGAUCCGAGCGUUAUCCGGAUUUAUUGGGUUUAAAGGGAGCGUAGAUGGGUUGUUAAGUCAGUUGUGAAAGUUUGCGGCUCAACCGUAAAAUUGCAAUUGAUACUGGCAGUCUUGAGUACAGGAGAGGUAGGCGGAAUUCGUGGUGUAGCGGUGAAAUGCUUAGAUAUCACGAAGAACUCCGAUUGCGAAGGCAGCUUACUAAACUGCAACUGACAUUGAUGCUCGAAAGUGUGGGUAGCAAACAGGAUUAGAUACCCGGGUAGUC
rnacentral:rRNA from 1 species